GCGUAUAUUAAAGUUGUUGCAGUUAAAAAGCUCGUAGUCGGAUUUCGGGGCGGGCCGAGCGGUCUGCCGAUGGGUAUGCACUGUUCGGCGCGUCCUUCUUUCCGGAGACCGCGCCUACUCUUAGCUGAGCGGGCGCGGGAGACGGAUCGUUUACUUUGAAAAAAUCAGAGUGUUUCAAGCAGGCAGCUCGCUCUUGCAUGGAUUAGCAUGGGAUAAUGAAAUAGGACUCUGGUGCUAUUUUGUUGGUUUCGAACACCGGAGUAAUGAUUAACAGGGACAGUCAGGGGCACUCGUAUUCCGUCGAGAGAGGUGAAAUUCUCAGACCAAUGGAAGACGAACCACUGCGAAAGCAUUUGCCAGGGAUGUUUUCACUGA
rnacentral:rRNA from 1 species